UAGGUAAAAUAAUUAACUCAUAUAAGAUUUGUCACAUUGUCUUGUAUUGGCUUCGUUAUCCAUCAACGUGAAGCUUUGAAGCCCUUUUCGUCUGUUGUCUUGUUUCUUCCCUGUUUCAGCUAGGCAGAUGGGAUUUAAAGAUAGAAGACAUUGCCCUUUGCUCUGCAAGUUAGCAACAGAAUACAUCAGGAAAUGCGAUGGUUGCGAAGAGGAUAUAUAUACAUAUUUCUCUAAUGAACCAGAUGUGGAUUCACUGUUUGUUAAGCUCGUGGAAGAGUUUGAGAGAUGCAUUCUUAGUUAUUUUGCAUUUCAUUGGAGUCAUGCAGAUCUUAUGAUUAGUCAGGUCAGCAUCAACAUGUAUAUACUAUGUUGGUAAUAUAUUGCUUCAAAUAUAUGAAAAAACUAUAAAAAACUAUGAUAGAUACAUGUUCAAAUCCGACACAUCCAAGUUCAAAUAACAUAUAGUAAAUGACUUGUUUUUUAUCAUAUUGUUUUAGGUAUUAAGUUCUGAUGCUGAACCCAAGAGAAAGCUCAAGCAGAUUGUCAUGGCUGCAACUAGGUUGGGCAUAUUCUAUUCUUUGAUUAUUGUUAUUGUCAGAUCAUAAUAAUAACUAAAAAAAAAUAUUGAAAUAAGGUAGAUCUGAAGAAUUGCAAAUUAAUAUAUCAACUUUAGAUUAUACCUAUUUACAGCAAGAAACUUGGAUUUUAAAACCUUAAAACUAGCGUAGCUUUAGUCUCUCACCAUUGUCGUCACUGCUGACAAGUAAUACUGAUUUCUACAAAAAGAACUUCGGUUUUGUAAUAUAGGGAACAAAGAUUUGAGAGGGUGACAAAAAGUCUGAAGGUGGCUAGGGUUUUCAAUACAUUGGUGGAAGAAAUGAAAGCAAUGGGACUCACCUCAACUGAUGAUUCUCGAUGUACAGAGGUGAUGGCUCCAGUGGCUCACAGUGAUAGAAGCCCAGUGCUGCUACUCAUGGGAGGUGGGAUGGGAGCUGGGAAGAGUACCGUCCUUAAGGACAUCCUCAAAGAGUAAGCUCGUCCUAUAUCCAACACUCAUCACCGAGUAACUCAAUGGUAACGUAGCAGACAAUUAGUCUCUUUUUGUUCCUGCAGAAGUAAAGUAACCAUUUGUAUGAAUGACUAUUUUAGUCAAGUAGACCUUCCAUAAAGUUUGCUUUUGAAAUUAGUAGUAAAUAUGAGUACUUACAAGGAACUAAUGUUGAGUGUUUUGCUUAAAAUAUGAACAGAACAUUCUGGGCAGGCGCAGCAGGAAAUGCAGUAGUGAUCGAGGCAGAUGCAUUCAAAGAAUCAGAUGUCAUAUACAGAGCCCUCAGCUCCAAAGGUCAUGCAGACAUGGUUCAUACAGCAGAACUGGUAAGAGUCACUUUCUCAGCCUCAUCAACUUUCACUGAUAGUUUCUUUAGCAAACUGAAUGAUUUCAAUUGCAUAGGCUUAAUGGCUUUAUACAGUAGCUAGCAGUAAACAAAGUUUUCUCCCAGCAUGUACAGGUUAUAAUCUAUGGAAACAAAGAGUUUCAAUGCAUUUCCCCAUCUCAUUCACUCCACUUGGAUCCUAUGAUUGGCAUCUCUAUCACCCAAGCUGGUUGCACUUUUGGCCAAAAUUUUGAGAUCAAAUAGCUCUUGGAUUAAACUUCCUUUAUUUCUAGAAAUAACACUAGGUUGCCUUUCUAAUUUAUGUGUAUAUGUUUUAGUAAUUAACUAGACUCAAAACUAAAACAUAAAAUCCAUGCAACCUGAAGGAAAAUGAUUGAGUUGCAUUAUUAACUGAAAAUGUCAAACAUCUACAUUUAGAAAAUGCAUACCAACGGCAACCAAUUCAAAUAUUUUUCCAGCCUUUCCAUAAUGCAAGAGCCUCUGUAAUCAUUUUCUGAGCUACUCUGAGGUUGGACUUUCUUCCAUCAACCUUUAAUCAAUUAACAACAUCCCAGUAAUCCAUGUCCUGUAAUAUCUUGUCACUGCCACAUGUAGCCCUAAAAAAGUUUCCUUCCCACAUGAAUAAGUGUAUCUUUACAUCAACAGUAAUAAAUAUUUCAUUUUUCUGUUCUCCACCAAGUCAACAUAGACUCAUAGUUCUCAAACAAAAAACUCAAUGUUAAAUGCACAAAUCAACAAAAAAAAUACUUCAUAGGUAAAUGAAUAACAUGGUAACCAUAUUAAUGCUUCUCAUUGGUUUUAACAAUUGUCCCAAACAGGUGCACCAAUCAUCUACGGAUGCAGCAUCAUCCCUCCUAGUGACAGCACUCAAUGAAGGGCGGGACGUGAUCAUGGAUGGAACACUCUCCUGGAUACCAUUUGUUGUGCAAACAAUAACUAUGGCCAGAUGUGUCCAUCGCCGGCGAUAUCGUAUGGGUGUUGGUUACAAGCGAAAACCUGACGGGACUGUAAUUGAGAACUACUGGGAGCAAAUUGAAGAAGAUCAAUUGCAAGGAGGGAAAAGGAGGAAGCCAUACAGAAUAGAGCUGGUUGGGGUUGUUUGUGAAGCUUAUUUAGCGGUCAUUAGAGGCAUAAGGUACUGCACCAUGGAAAACACUAGAGACAGUUGUCUUAGUUUUAGUACGAAGUCUUUUCCCCUUUAGCUGAGAUAUUGAUUUUAUCAAGAAAUUCAAUAUUUACAGGAGAGCUAUAAUGUGUAGACGCGCUGUAAGGGUGCAGUCACAAUUGAAAUCCCACAAGAGAUUUGCAAAUGCGUUUCCAACAUAUUGCCAACUGGUUGACAGUGCUAGGCUGUAUUCCACCAAUGCUUUGGAAGGUCCACCUAAGGUGAAUUAACUAUCACACAUUUUCAAUCUUAAUUUACUUAACAGGUGACAUAAAACUGAAAGGAACACCUAGUUCACCAAAGAAUUUUAACUCUGGAACCUAAGGUCAGAACAGCUGGAACAGACUGGACCAAUCUUGAAUCACUCAGAUAGCUAUAAGUUCAUGCAAGAAAUGCUAUUUGUAAAUUGUUUGACAUUUCAAUACAGGAGGCUUUGUCUCUGGUACAAAAUUAGAUGAGGAGAACUGGCUUUCUGUUAAAGCCAUGAACCCUGCUCAAUCUUUCAGGAAGAUCAUAAGCAGGCUUACCACUAGGCUAAUUUUAUUGGAAAAAAACCAUAGUAGUAUAAAAAACAGCUGACACUGUUGUAAAGUAGAAAUCUACAAAUAGAACUCCUUUCUAGGCAUGCAAACUUGCAUUUUCUUGUUCAGGACUGAACUCUUUCAAGUGUCUGGUUGUAGAAUUGGUGAGAGAGUGGUUUUGAACCCUCACAAGUCCAAGACAACUAAGUUGAGAUUAAACCAAACCUAAGCGGAGAAAAUUUCCAGCCGCCUAGUUUACUCCAUUAUAAUCCUAAAACUGAAAUCUAGGAGGAAGAGAAAAUAGCCUAUAACUACAGGCUGCAGCAUGCAGGGAUAAACAAAUAAAUUGUGAAGGAACUUCAUUGCUAGCAAAAUUACUCCAUGCAACCAAUUAUGUAAUAUUAACAUGAAAAUUUUUGUAAAGUUGAUAGGAUGGAAAGAAAGAGAGAGAACCUUGCUAGUUGAUCCAGAUGAAAUUGACUGUUUAAAGAAAGUGGGCAGGCUGAAUGAAGAAGCUGAGUCCAUAUAUGAACUUUACAAGCACCCCAACCCGGCAUGUGAAGCUG
rnacentral:lncRNA from 1 species